GAUGAACGCUGGCGGCGUGCCUAAUACAUGCAAGUCGAGCGAACAGACGAGGAGCUUGCUCCUCUGACGUUAGCGGCGGACGGGUGAGUAACACGUGGAUAACCUACCUAUAAGACUGGGAUAACUUCGGGAAACCGGAGCUAAUACCGGAUAAUAUAUUGAACCGCAUGGUUCAAUAGUGAAAGACGGUUUUGCUGUCACUUAUAGAUGGAUCCGCGCCGCAUUAGCUAGUUGGUAAGGUAACGGCUUACCAAGGCAACGAUGCGUAGCCGACCUGAGAGGAUGAUCGGCCACACUGGAACUGAGACACGGUCCAGACUCCUACGGGAGGCAGCAGUAGGGAAUCUUCCGCAAUGGGCGAAAGCCUGACGGAGCAACGCCGCGUGAGUGAUGAAGGUCUUCGGAUCGUAAAGCUCUGUUAUUGGGGAAGAACAAAUGUGGAAGUAACUAUGGACGUCUUGACGGUACCUAAUCAGAAAGCCACGGCUAACUACGUG
rnacentral:rRNA from 1 species